rnacentral:rRNA from 1 species
AGAACGAACGCUGGCGGCAUGUCUAACACAUGCAAGUCGAACGCUUUUGGGGCUUCGGUCCCAAAGGAGUGGCGCACGGGUGAGUAGCGCGUGGGAACCUGCCCUGUUGUGGGGAUAACCGAGGGAAACUUCGGCUAAUACCGCAUACGCCCGGGGGAAACUCCGGGGAAAGAUUUAUCGCAGCAGGAGGGGCCCGCGUCGGAUUAGGUAGUUGGUGGGGUAACGGCCCACCAAGCCUGUGAUCCGUAGCUGGUCUGAGAGGAUGAUCAGCCACACUGGGACUGAGACACGGCCCAGACUCCUACGGGAGGCAGCAGUGGGGAAUAUUGGACAAUGGGCGCAAGCCUGAUCCAGCAAUGCCGCGUGAGUGAUGAAGGCCUUCGGGUUGUAAAGCUCUUUCGCACGCGACGAUGAUGACGGUAGCGUGAGAAGAGCCCCGGCUAACUUCGUGCCAGCAGCCGC